rnacentral:rRNA from 1 species
ACGCACGCUGGCGGCAUGCCUCACCCAUGCCAGUCGAACGAGACCUUCGGGUCUAGUGGCGCACGGGUGCGUAACGCGUGGGAAUCUGCCCUUGGGUUCGGGAUAACAGUUGGAAACGACUGCUAAUACCGGAUGAUGACUUCGGUCCAAAGAUUUAUCGCCCAGGGAUGAGCCCGCGUCGGAUUAGCUAGUUGGUGAGGUAAGAGCUCACCAAGGCGACGAUCCGUAGCUGGUCUGAGAGGAUGAUCAGCCACACUGGGACUGAGACACGGCCCAGACUCCUACGGGAGGCAGCAGUGGGGAAUAUUGGACAAUGGGCGAAAGCCUGAUCCAGCAAUGCCGCGUGAGUGAUGAAGGCCUUAGGGUUGUAAAGCUCUUUUACCCGGGAUGAUAAUGACAGUACCGGGAGAAUAAGCCCCGGCUAACUCCGUG